rnacentral:rRNA from 1 species
CCUUUAUUCCUGCACGACUUGUAAUUGCGAUGGGGGGACGGAGAAGGCUAGGUGGGCCAGGCGACGGUUGUCCUGGUGAAAGUGCGUAGGCGGUAUCUCUAGGCAAAUCCGGAGAUGCAACGCUGAGACACGAGACGAAGCCACUACGGUGGUGAAGCCAUUGAUGCCAUGCUUCCAGGAAAAGCCUCUAAGCUUCAGAUUACAAGUCAUCGUACCCCAAACCGACACAGGUGGUCGGGUAGAGAAUACCAAGGCGCUUGAGAGAACUCGGGUGAAGGAACUAGGCGAAAUAGAACCGUAACUUCGGGAGAAGGUUCGCUCUUGACAGUGAAGUCCCUUGCGGAUGGAGCAGUUGGGUGUCGCAGUGACCAGAUGGCUGGGACUGUUUAUCAAAAACACAGCACUCUGCAAACACGAAAGUGGACGUAUAGGGUGUGACACCUCCCCGGUGCCGGAAGGUUAAUUGAUGGGGUUAGCGCAAGCGAAGCUCUUGAUCGAAGCCCCGGUAAACGGCGGCCGUAACGAUAACGGUCCUAAGGUAGCGAAAUUCCUUGUCGGGUAAGUUCCGACCUGCACGAAUGGUGUAACCAUGGCCAUGCUGUCUCCACCCGAGACUCAGUGAAAUCGAAUUCGCCGUGAAGAUGCGGUGUACUCGCGGCUAGACGGAAAGACCCCGUGAACCUUUACUACAGCUUGGCACUGAACAUUGAACCUACAUGUGUAGGAUAGGUGGGAGGCUUUGAAGCGGGAACGCUAGUUCUCGUGGAGCCGUCCUUGAAAUACCACCCUUGUAUGUUUGAUGUUCUAACGCAGGGCCCUGAAUCGGGCUCGCGGACAGUGCCUGGUGGGUAGUUUGACUGGGGCGGUCUCCUCCCAAAGAGUAACGGAGGAGCACGAAGGUUGGCUAAUCCUGGUCGGACAUCAGGAGGUUAGUGCAAUGGCAUAAGCCAGCUUAACUGCGAGACGGACAGGUCGAGCAGGUACGAAAGUAGGUCAUAGUGAUCCGGUGGUUCUGAAUGGAAGGGCCAUCGCUCAACGGAUAAAAGGUACUCCGGGGAUAACAGGCUGAUACCGCCCAAGAGUUCAUAUCGACGGCGGUGUUUGGCACCUCGAUGUCGGCUCAUCACAUCCUGGGGCUGAAGUCGGUCCCAAGGGUAUGGCUGUUCGCCAUUUAAAGUGGUACGCGAGCUGGGUUCAGAACGUCGUGAGACAGUUCGGUCCCUAUCUGCCGUGGGCGUUGGAUGAUUGAAGGGAGUUGCUCCUAGUACGAGAGGACCGGAGUGAACGAACCUCUGGUGUUCGGGUUGUCACGCCAGUGGCACUGCCCGGUAGCUAAGUUCGGAAUCGAUAACCGCUGAAAGCAUCUAAGCGGGAAGCGAGCCCUGAGAUGAGUCAUCCCUGACCCCUUGAGGGUCCUAAAGGGCCGUUGGAGACCACAACGUUGAUAGGUGGGGUGUGUAAGCGCAGCGAUGUGUUGAGCUAACCCAUACUAAUUACCCGUGAGGCUUAACCG